UUCGAUUCUGGCUCAGAUUGAACGCUGGCGGGAUGCUUUACACAUGCAAGUCGAACGGCAACACGGACUUCGGUCUGGUGGCGAGUGGCGAACGGGUAGGUAAUGUAUCCGGAACGUGCCCUGGCUUAGCCCGGGGGAUAACUACGCGAAAGCGUAGCUAAUACCACAUACGCCCUUCGGGGAAAGCGGGGACCUUCGGGCCUCGCACUAUUAGAGCGGCCGAUAUCGAGUUAGCUAGUUGGUGGGGUAACGGCUCACAAGGCGACGAUCCGUAGCUGGUUUGAGAGGACGACCAGCCACACUGGGA
rnacentral:misc_RNA from 1 species